AUACAGGGGGUGCGAGCGUUAAUCGGAAUUACUGGGCGUAAAGAGUACGUAGGCGGUUGCUUAAGUCAGAUGUGAAAGCCCCGGGCUCAACCUGGGAACUGCAUUUGAAACUGAGUGACUAGAGUUUAAGAGAGGGGAGUAGAAUUCCGGGUGUAGCGGUGAAAUGCGUAGAGAUCCGGAGGAAUACCAGUGGCGAAGGCGGCUACCUGGCUUAAAACUGACGCUGAGGUACGAAAGCGUGGGUAGCAAACAGGAUUAGAAACACCGGUAGUCC
rnacentral:rRNA from 1 species